rnacentral:piRNA from 1 species
UCUGAGCCAUCUCUCCAGCCCAUU